CAACCCUCAAGUUUAUACUUGGUAUUGGAGCUAUCUAUAGUAAAAAAUAGCUAUAGGCUCUGAAAGAAAUUGGCAGGUGUUUAGUAAACCCGAAUGUAGUAAAAUACUUUUCGUUCAGGGAGUUGCUGACUUCUAGCCGUUAAACUCCCUACUUUUUUAA
rnacentral:misc_RNA from 1 species